AAUCUUCCGCAAUGGGCGAAAGCCUGACGGAGCAAUGCCGCGUGAGUGAUGAAGGNUUNNGGAUCNUNAAGCUCUGUUGCCAGNNNNNAACGCUUGGGAGAGUAACUGCUCUCAAGGUGACGGUACCUGAGAAGAAAGCCCCGGCUAACUACGUGCCAGCAGCCGCGGUAAUACGUAGGGGGCAAGCGUUGUCCGGAAUUAUUGGGCGUAAAGCGCGCGCAGGCGGUCAUGUAAGUCUGGUGUUUAAUCCCGGGGCUCAACCCCGGAUCGCACUGGAAACUGUGUGACUUGAGUGCAGAAGAGGAGAGUGGAAUUCCACGUGUAGCGGUGAAAUGCGUAGAGAUGUGGAGGAACACCAGUGGCGAAGGCGACUCUCUGGGCUGUAACUGACGCUGAGGCGCGAAAGCGUGGGGAGCAAACAG
rnacentral:rRNA from 1 species